UCCUACGGGGGGCAGCAGUAGGGAAUCUUCCACAAUGGACGAAAGUCUGAUGGAGCAACGCCGCGUGAGUGAAGAAGGGUUUCGGCUCGUAAAGCCCUGUUGUUAGAGAAGAAAGUGCGUGAGAGUAACUGUUCACGUUUCGACGGUAUCUAACCAGGAAGCCACGGCUAACUACGUGCCAGCAGCCGCGGUAAUACGUAGGUGGCAAGCGUUAUCCGGAUUUAUUGGGCGUAAAGGGAACGCAGGCGGGCUUUUAAGUCUGAUGUGAAAGCCUUCGGCUUAACCGGAGUAGUGCAUUGGAAACU
rnacentral:rRNA from 1 species